rnacentral:lncRNA from 1 species
GAGCACUUUGUCUGGGCAGUAUCAGGAAGUUUAAUUAGUCUGAAACUGUAGCCUGCUUCAUUUGUAAUGUACUUAAUGAAUAUUUCUUUAAAAGCAUUUACAUUUAGCCCUUUUAAGUUCUGUGUAGGUCCACAUUACAAUUUUCUAAGCCAUUCCUAUGACAUGAGACUAAUGAUACUAUUUCCUCACAGUGCCCAGGAUUUUUUUCUUGGACAUGUCGUAUUCGUAAGCAAAGCACUGUGUCAAGUCAGUCUGCUUGAGUAAUCAUUGCCGAGUAAUCUCAGUGAGUAAGAGUAGAAUCAGCUCAGGGCUUGUUUAGUAGAGAAUGUUAAUCUCCAUUAAAAUAACAAAUGCUACUGUGCUCAGACAGGACCUUUACUUUUUAAAAUAAAUGUGUGGUCAGAGAUAUAUAUGUUAUAAUAAGUUAUACUUCUGGUGAAAAAUUAUUUCUGGAGUCUAUAAACAUAUACAUUAAUUGUGAGUUAAUAGUUUAAAUAAUAGUAGAAAGACCUUUUAAGAUGCAUUAUGUUAAAUAGAAGGUAGGACUCAAAGAAAAAAAAAAAGAAAAACGGGUCCCAGAAAACAAAGAGCUUUAUUUCUGCUACCUAAUCAUCUAGAAACAAAAUUUAAAGUUUUAAAAGCACACCUAUAUCCAAAGACAAAAGUCCUCUAUCUGAAUGCCCAGCAGAUAAGUGUUUAGUUUUGGGGCUGGCUGGCUGGCUUGAGCUGUUUCGUUCUAAGCGGGGUUGUUGCUUUUUACACAGUCUCUGCUGAAUUAAGAUCUUUCUCUGCAGCAAUAUCGUGAGAGGUGCUGACUGUUUUGCUACAGCAUGCAACUCAAAAGUGGCUGGGGAAACACAGCUUUGGGAGUCUACAGAUCAUUGCAGGAGCUAAAUAGUCAUUUCAAUACGUAAGCAAGGGGUCUGCAGCACCUGAUGACUGGAGGUCUGCACAGGUUUGUGUCAAGAAUAUGCCUAUAUGAAAGGCUGUUAUGAGUAUGGAAUUAAGGCUAUUUGUUUCAUAAUAGAGCAUAUUUGAUACAAAUCAGCAAAAUGUGAAAUGAGAUUCAAAGAUAUUAAUGAGUUAUACAUUAACCAAACUUCUGAAGUCUGGAUUUGUUAGUGAGAUUAUAUAGUUACUCAAUUUUAGUAGGCAAAUGUUAAAAACAAGAUUCAUAAAAUACAAAAUUCAUUAAAAAACAACAAUCAGAAUAAUGUUUGCAAUAAAGUUUUAUUUUCCUUUAUUUCAACUAAAAUAUCCUUUUGAUCAAGAGUAAAAUAUUUUCUAAAAAAUUACAUUAGAAUUGGCAGAUAACUUGACUAUCUGAAUUAUAGUGAAAGAAUAAAAUAUGUUUUCUUAAUGCAAACAACUUUUUUAGUUUCAACUUUAAAAGUUGUUAGUUAUGAGAUUUUGACAUUAAAGCCACAACUAUGACCUCCAUACAUUUAAAAUAUUGGGAAAACUAAAUAUAACCUAAAUCCCUAGCCCAAUCUUAGAUUCUAUUGUAGUUACAAGAAUCGGUUAGUACGAUUUAGAAUAUAUGAUUUUUUUUUAUGAUCUUAUCCUAGUUUGAAGAUGAUAAAUCAGAUGGGAUAAUGAAGUUGG